CAUGCCUGUCAGGCUCAGCCAAUCACAGACCAGCAGUCGGCGGUUAAAGGAGUGGCCAAGUUUGACUUCACGGCAGAGAGCGAAGAUGAGCUCACUUUAAAGGUCGGUGAUGUCAUGACGCAGGUGGAGUUUGUGGAUGAGCAGUGGAUUCUGGGAGUUGUGGGCGGGAGGCGUGGGAUUGUUCCUAAAAACUACAUUUCACUUCUCUGAUGAGGAAAUCGUGAAAACGUCUAAUGAGGAGAAAACAACUUCUUCUUCUUCUUCUUCUAUUGUAGUUUUUGCAGCUCCUCUGAGUGAUGCGUUCACUGAAGUCCAGAGUUUCAACUCAACAUCUUUUUAAUGAAACAAAAUCCGCUUCUUUUGUCACUAAACUAUAAACUGGAGCUCUGAGUUGUGAUUGGAUCGUCGCUCUGAUCGACGGAGUUCAACAGAUUUCAACGACUCUUUCAGCGCCUGGACUAAAGUUGACUGUUUGUCUUUCACCGACUCUUCCUCGGCUCAUUAGUGCUGAAGAAGCAGUGAUCAGUGGACCUACACCGGUUCUAAAGGUUCUAAAGGAUCAGUAAGAUGGUGGUCUCUGCUCUGAGGAGCUUCUGUUGGUCCACCUUUCUGUAACACUUCUCUCACGUCUACGAUGCUUUAAAAACAUACUUUUAGUGCGUUAAUAUCUGCUUACAGCUGUUUAAUUAUAGUUAUAGCCGCUCAUUAACUUCCAUAAUCAACUAGACAAGAAAUAAAAACCCACCUUUCACUCGAUGCUCUGGUGUGUAGCAUUGAUGAAUAUGUAUAUAACUAUGAAUGCAUGAAUACAGACAAACAGUGCUGUGAGCAGAUUAUAACGCAUCGUAAUAAUGUUUGUAACGUAUCACAGACGUCAUGUAGAAAGUGCUACCGACGGCUUUUAACAUGUUGUAUGUGUCGGAUACUUUUUAAACUUCAAACUGGAAAACCUUCAAAGACGACUAACUCACUUUAAUCAUGAGCGUGGUGUAACGUGGACGAUCAGGAGACUGAGGAGUGGAGUGAGGAGUGGAGUGAGUG